UUUCCGUAGGUGAACCCGCGGAAGGAUCAUUAUUGUAUAACAGAGCUGCGAGGGCAGUCGCUGACUCGCUAGGUCGUGUAUGCCCGAGUGUCCCCACACACAUCCAUCCCACCCCCAUGUGCACCACCGCGCGGGUCGUACUUUGGCCUGUUCGGUGGGGGGCUUACGUUUUCAUACUACCUUUGUAUGCAGAGCAGACUGCAAUUUUUGUUUUUGCGAUCACGCAAUCAAUACAACUAUCAAAAGCGGAUCUCUUGGCUCUCGCAUCGAUGCAGAACG
rnacentral:misc_RNA from 1 species